rnacentral:rRNA from 1 species
ACAGUCAGGCAACGAGCGAGACCCCUGCGUCUAGUUGCUACCAUUACUCUCUGGAGCAGUGGAGCGAAUUAGACGGACCGCCACAGUUAAUGUGGAGGAAGGAAGGGGCCACGGCAGGUCAGUAUGCCCCGAAACCCUAGGGCUACACGCGGGCUGCAAUGGUAUUGACAAUGUGUUCCGAAUCCGAAAGGAGGAGGCAAUCAUCAAACAAUAUCUCAGUUAUGACUGAGGGCUGUAACUCGCCCUCACGAAUAUGGAAUCCCUAGUAACCGCGCGUCACCACCGCGCGGUGAAUACGUCCCUGCUCCUUGCACGAAUUCGCCG